rnacentral:rRNA from 1 species
GAUGAACGCUGGCGGCGUGCUUAACACAUGCAAGUCGAACGGUGAAGGGGAGCUUGCUCUCUGGAUCAGUGGCGAACGGGUGAGUAACACGUGAGCAAUCUGCCCCUGACUCUGGGAUAACAGUUGGAAACAGCUGCUAAUACUGGAUACGAGACGUGAAGGCAUCUUCAACGUCUGGAAAGAAUUUCGGUCAGGGAUGAGCUCGCGGCCUAUCAGCUUGUUGGUGAGGUAACGGCUCACCAAGGCGUCGACGGGUAGCCGGCCUGAGAGGGUGACCGGCCACACUGGGACUGAGACACGGCCCAGACUCCUACGGGAGGCAGCAGUGGGGAAUAUUGCGCAAUGGGCGGAAGCCUGACGAAGCGUGAGUGACGGUAGGGGUAGAAGAAGCACCGGCCAACUACGUGCCAGCAGCCGCGGUAACACGUAGGGUGCGAGCGUUGUCCGGAAUUAUUGGGCGUAAAGAGCUCGUAGGCGGUGUGUCGCGUCGGCCGUGAAAACCUGCAGCUUAACUGUGGGCUUGCGGUCGAUACGGGCAUCACUGGAGUUCGGCAGGGGAGACUGGAAUUCCUGGUGUAGCGGUGAAAUGCGCAGAUAUCANGAGGAACACCGGUGGCGAAGGCGGGUCUCUGGGCCGAUACUGACGCUGANGAGCGAAAGCGUGGGGAGCGAACAGGAUUANAUACCCUGGUAGUCCACGCCGUAAACGUUGGGCGCUAGGUGUGGGGGSNNUUCCACGGUCUCUGUGCCGUAGCUAACGCAUUAAGCGCCCCGCCUGGGGAGUACGGCCGCAAGGCUAA